rnacentral:lncRNA from 1 species
AGGGUGUUAAGCAUUCUUCCUCUAAAGCCUGAGUGAGCGCCUGCAGUUUCUCAAAAUCACCCCGGUCUAAUUUGGCUCCAGGUUGGGCUCUGCCAUUUCUCCUGUCUGGGGCUCCUUUCCUGGUGCCCCUUUGGUGCCCACCCUUCCCUAUCUCUUCCUCGACCCCUACAAGGGCUCCAGAGCUUUCUCUGACCUUAGCAAUUGUGUUGAGGUGUCACCUCCUGUAAGUACCCUGUGCUUAUCUUCUUUCUGUUUACUGCUGUGUCAUUGCCAUUGUAGUAAGAGCUCAUCAAGGACAGAAACUGUCUCACUGUAUUGUGUGCAGGAGUGGCAGUAAAAAUAUUUAAUGAGUGGUUGUAAAUACUAACGAGCCUGGUCAGCAGGUGGAAUAGGGUUCUGUUGUGUCGAGUAUAAGGAGAAAUCGGGAAAGACUUUUAAAUGGACCAAAAGAUUAGCAAAUGUCUUUAAUGGUACAAUGCAUGGUGUCACACACGUCCUUCUGAGCUAUGAUUCUAGGGAGCUUGGACCCUUUAUUAUCUUUAGCUCUCCUGUAACAAUGUAGAGAGAAAAGUUAACUUGUCCAGAACUAAUAACACUGUAAUUAAUUCUUGUCUACAGAUAGGCAAUGACUGUUUAGUGGAUAUUCAACUGACUUUCACCCCCUACUGUAGAGACAAUGGACCUUGGAUCUUUUAAAUUAAUGCCAAUAUUUGUCUGGUCUUUGAAUUUUCCUUUGACCGGUGGUAACACCUUUCUAGUUCUCUCAUUAAUUAGGGAGUUAAAUAAAAUUUCUGACACGUGUUUAGUUUAUGUCUAUAUGAAAGUCAUGAUUUCACAUUUUUUUCUUUAAAAAUUAUGCUUAAAUAGUUGUAGAGGUCUUGCACGGGAAUUAUUUAAAGGAGAGACAGAAAGAGAAAAGAAAAGAAGAACUCACAAAGAAAAAAAUCUUCCUCUCAUGAAAAACUAAGGAUCUUUUUAUUGUGUAACCUUUAUGUUUAAUUUAAAAUGCCUUGUCGUGGCUUUGAUUAAAUGAUCAAAGCAUUAAGUGAUCGAGUACUGUUUCUCAUGUGCCUGUAUAAAGUCUUAACUGUGUGUCCAAAUUUCCUGACAACUCUUUUGAUUAUUUUCUUCAAAAACUCAAAUUCUAAGUAUAUAUAUAUGCAAAUAUUUAUAUUUGCAUAUAAAUAUAUUUAUAUAUAUGUACUAAAUAUUUAUAAAUAUAUUUAUAUAUAUGUACUAAAUAUUAAAUAUGUGUUUACUAUUUAGUACAUAUAUAUGAGGCUAAAACUUUAAGGAUACCUUUUUUUUAAAAUAUUUUUUUAGUUGUAGUUGGACACAAUAUCUUUAUUUAUUUUUAUAUGGUGCUGAGGAUCGAACCCAGUGCCUCACAUGUGGGAGGCAGGCGCUCUACCCCUGAGCUACAGCCCCAGCCCCAAGGAAAUCUUUUAAUCUAAAACUGAGAUUAUCUAGAUCUCUGAAAAAUUACAAGGAUUAGUUCUUAUAAAAUGAUACUGAGGCCAGGCGUGGUGGCAUACACCUGUAAUCCCAGCAACUCCAGAGACUGGGGCAGGAAGAUGGAAAGUUUGAGUCCAGCCUUAGCAACUUAGCGAGGUCCUGAAUGACUUAGUGAGAUCCAGUCUCAAAAUUAAAAAUAAAAAAUAAAAAGGGCUGGGAAUGUGGAUCAGUGGUUAAGUAUCCUGGGUUAAAUCAACAGUACCAAAAAAAAAAAAAAGCUGAAAAUAAAGUUUGUUUAAUAAGUUGCCAAAUCAGAAAAAAGUGCUCAGAUUUCUCAGGCUUACACUGAAUACAUAAAAUAUGCUUAGAUGACUAUUUCAGAAAUUGCAUGCUUUCAUAGGAAAUUUUUAGAGAUUUAUCAGUGCUCUCAUUGUCCAUAAUAUCUUCCUAUGGAUCAGAAUACCUGGUAAUAUUAUGAUACUCUCAUAUUAUCAUGCAAUUUUGGCUAUUAUUUAAAGUGCUUACUGUUAUGGUUUAGAUAUUAGGUGUCCUCCAAAAGCUCAUGUGUCAGAGGUAAAAUGAUUAGGUUGUGAGAGCCUUAACCCAUUCAGUGAAUUAAUCCACUCUUAGGGAUUAACUGGAUGUAACUGUAGGCAGGUCUGGUAUGGCUAGGGGAGCUGGGCCUUUGGGGAUGUAUUCAUGGUGAGGAGAGUCUCCCUCUGCUUCCUGAAGUGAUGCCCUGAGCUGCAUCCUCUACCAUACUCUUCCUCCAUGAUGUUCUGCCUCACCUCAGGCACUGAGCAAUGGAGACAGCUAUAUAUAGACUGAGACCUCUGAAACCACCAGGGUCAAAGAAACUUUUCCUCCUUAAAAUUGUUCUUUUCCGGUUUUUGGUCACAGCAAUGAAAUACUGUCUGAACACUUCCUUAGAACAACAUUCUUUAAAGUGAACCUAGCAUCAUCUGACCAAUAGUUCUAAAUUGGAGAUGUGCAUUGGAUUUGCCCAUGGAGUUUUAUAAAAACACAGAUGUCCAGAAAGACUAAAUUUCUUUACUUGAUGUUUGUGGUAUAAUUUUGAUAUAUUAUUAUGUACCCAACAUCACAGAAUUGUUAUGUUUCAAGAUUUUUCCCUUUCUAAAAAUUAUAUUCAUGUGUUUAUAAAUGAGAUAUAACAUUCAAUUAUAUCCUUAGAAAUUUUUUGCUUAGGGACACCGGGAAUGUGACUCAGUGAUACCUUGCCUGGCAUGCAUGAGGCCCUGGUUCAAUUCCCAGUCUGCAAAAAAAAAAAAAAAAAAAAAGAAAAGAAAAAGAAAAAGAAAAAAAUUUUCCUUAAAAAUAUGUAUUUUUUUAAAAAUAGCCUUAUCUUGCCACCAAAACAAUCAAAUUUCUUGUCAGCUGCUUUAUUCUGAACUCUCAUCAGAUCCUUUACAUUUAAAAAUUAUCAGUAAUAGAUAAAAAUGCCUAUUUCAGAUUUCUGUCAUUUACAGAUAACUUUGUUUUAUUGAUUCUCACCUGAGAGAGCAGAGUUUGUAUCAACAAGGAACCAGGGCCAGGUCCUUGAAACUAUUGAUUGUUCUAAGAAUCCUCUCUUGGGAGCAGAUGGCAUUGCUUACCAAUGGUGACCUCUUGGGAACAGAUGGUUUUGCUUACCAAUGGGCUAGAUCAGAUUUUCCAGCUCUUUUUAGCCAAAAAGUCAGCAGCGUCCAAAGUCUGCUAACCAAUAACCUAGUGGAACAUAAUUUAAUUUCACUGGACUGAAUGACCUGUUGAGGAAAUUUUUAGUUUUGGAAUACUGUUAGUAGUCCUUUCUGUGUUUUUUUCUAGAUAUGUAAAUAAGCCCUCAUUUUUUAUUCUUAAGCUGUCUGCAACCAAUAGAAAUUUAAUAGGCAGAAAAUGGACCAAGACAGGAAUUUUGUGAGAACUGCAUGCAAAUAAAACUGAAACACAAGAACUAAUUAAAUAAAUUGUAUCUAAUAUAAAAAGCAAAACUAUAUUAUAACAGUUAUAAACUUUGAAGAUCACUUUUUAUGAGAAAAGUCCAGAUCAGCAUUCUAAUCCUGCAACUGGCUAUAUUACCUGAGCCAAUUAAUUGCUUUUUGCCUCACUUAUUUUUCCACCUAAAAGUGGAUCUAUUAAGAGUACCUUAUUUUUCAGUCUAUUUAGGAUUAAAUNACUGUCUAUAUGUCUGUAGAUAAGAAUUACUUCCAUUAUAUCAAUAUUGUACCCAUUAACUUCUAUAGAGCUAACUAUAUCUAGUUAUCUCUAUAGGAUUAUAAAAAAACUUAAAGAUAAUUAAAAUCACAAAUCCUAUAGAAUCAGAUUAUCCUAAAGUGUAUGCACCAAAAAAUGCACAAUUUACUCUUGAUGACAAAUGGCAAUCUCUUGGCCCAACUAAAAGUCUCUCACUUUUGUGUGUGUGUGUGUGUGUGUGUGUAAAUCUACCCACCCAUUCUCUUAGUCAAGAUAAUCCUAAAGAAAAAUUCUUUUAAGAGUGGUCUCAUUAGAUUAGGACUGAUCAUUUACAGAGAUGCAGCAAGAAGCCUUCUAAAACUUGCUUUGGAAUCUAGCGUUCUACAAUAUUGAUUGAACAAUCACAAAAUUAACCUCUUGAGAGGUUUGCAACAGAUAUUUCAACUUGGACUUUUAAAAGUUUAUGUAAUUUGCUGUUCCAAAGUUAGGAACCUAAGCCCCCCAAAGUCUGUCUUCACACAAUUUCAUCUAGUGCAUCUAAUCUAUAAAGACAGGCAAAUCCCUUCUUCUCAAGGUCUCUGGUCUGCCAGAGGCAUUCUUCCUCACCAUCCUUGAGGUUGGACCCUGUUAGGGAGACUCAGGGUCAGUCUUCCUGCAGGGCCUUUGUAGACAUUGACUUCAUAAGAGUGUCCAAAGUAAUGUCAGUUUUAUAUCCUUAAAAUGGUUGUCAUGCCUGAUUAAGCAAAAACCAUACUCGAAGAUGACAUUCAGGCAAGAACUUAGGUGCAUACCUAUUUUAUAAAAUUAUAUCUUUGUACAAAUGAGAACAGAUUUUUCUUGAGCCUAUGCAAAUACAGGUAACUUUAUUUGCCAUAGCAAUCAGUGGAGAGUGUCUGAUUUGGUGUGGGGUGAGAAGAGGGAAAAUGUUAGUGAGAAUCAGAUAUCUUUUCCCAAUUCCUUGUGUUUUUUUCCCCAAUAGAAUAAAUACCCUUAAUAAUAAAUAAAUAGAAUCCAUACCCUUCAGAAUUAUCUGACUCUGUAGGGUUUGUGAUUUUAAUUGUCUUUAAGUUUUUUAUAAUCCUGUAGGGAUAACUAGAUACAGUUAGCUCUAUAGAAGUUAAUGGGUACAAUAUUGAUAUAAUGGAAGUAAUUCUUAUCUACAGACAUAUAGACAGUUUUGUGCCAUAGAAGUUCAAAUUGACCCCCCUCCAUUGAGGAAGCCAGAUUUGCAUCCAUUAAACCAACAAGGUUUAAUGAGCAUACACUAUGUGUAUGGUCCUAUUGUAAGAAUUUACUCAUAUUUCUUAAUUUAAUCCUAAAUAGACUGAAAAAUAAGGUACUCUUAAUAGAUCCACUUUUAGGUGGAAAAAUAAGUGAGGCAAAAAGCAAUUAAUUGGCUCAGGUAAUAUAGCCAGUUGCAGAAUUAGGAUGCUGAUCUGGACUUUUCUAACUAUUCUACUAUGCUACUUCUGAAAAGUGAUCUUCAAAGUUUUUAACUGUUAUAAUAUAGUUUUGCUUUUUAUAUUAGAUACAACUUAUUUAAUUAGUCCUUGUGUUUCAAUUUUAUUUGCAUGCAGUUCUCACAAAAUUCCUGUCUUGGUCUAUUUUCAGUUGCUAUAACUGUAUACCUCAGACUGUAAUUUAUAAAGAAUAAAGGUUUAUUUGGCUCACUGUUUGAAGGCUCGGGAAGUCCAUGCUCUGGCAGUUGCAUCUGGCGAGGUUCUUCUGGCUGGUGGUGACUCUCUGCAGAGUUCCAGGGUGGUACACGGCAAGAAUGUUACAUAGCAAGAGGAAAUGAGUGUCCAAGCUCAAGUCUUUCCUCUCAUAAAGGAGCAGUCCCAUUGAAUUAGGGCCUUGCAGCCUCAUUUAACUUUAAUUAUCUCCCAAGGGUCCCACCUUCAAAUGCAAUAGUCAGAUUAAGUUUUCAUCUUCUUAAAACUGCAUGGUGAAGAUUAAAUCUCAAGAGUUCCAGUGUGGACAUUUGUGUUGGGAAGUUUUCCAUUACUGCGAUGAAAUACCUGUGUUAUAAACCUAAAAGGAGGAAAAAUAUUACUGUGGCUUAUGGUUUCAGAAGUGUCAGUCCAUGGUCAUCUCGCCUGGCCCUCUUCCUUCAGGCCAGCAAUUGCACAGUACCUCCUGGUGGGUAGGAGUGCAUGGCAGAGGAGGAUGGUUCACCUCCUGGUGGCCAGGAAGCAAAGAGAAACAGGAAGGGCCUGGGGUCCCAAUAUCCCCUUCAAGGACUUGCCCCCAGGUUCUAACUUCCUUCCAUUAGGCUCUACCUGCUAAUACUUCCACCACCUUCCAACAGUACCAUAAGCUGGUGACCAAGUCUUCAACACAAGGCUCUUCUUGGGACAUCUCUAAACCAUGGCAAUAUUCAAACUGUAGCAAGCCCCUAUAAUAAGGUGUUAUUCCCAUUCUGCAGACAAGAAAGGGGAAGUUAAAUAAUCAGGUCAUAACAUUUAAAUGUAUCACAACAAUGAAACAUUUGUUACAAGUGUUUUCUGUUGAAUAAAUCUGUGCUCUGUUCCUUGGUCCACACAUGCUUUCUGAUUUUAAUCUGUAUAAUUGCUUGAACUUGCUUUCAAUAGGCACAUGGUUCCAGGCCCUUGGCAUCACUACCUUUCACAAUUUGGAGAUCUUCCUGUGGUCCGUGGCAGAGAAGGCAUAAUCUCUUCUAAGAGGAGUAGGUGAAAAACCAGCCUCUACCUCAGAGCAAAGCCCGUCCAAGGAAGGGACAUGACCUUUGUCCUUGGAAAGACCCACAGAGCACUCCUAGGCACAUUCCCACCCUGCUAAGUUGUUUAUCUACAAAUAACAGGAGAGAUCUGCUGCNCCAGGUGUCCCUGACUCAGUCAGGCUAGGUGGGUAUCCAUAGCAACCCCCCAGUAGCCACCAAUCAGCAUGAGACAGGGAAAUACCUGGGAUGCCAGAUGACCCUCCCAGUAGUUUAUGGUGGUUAAUAACGUGUUGGGAAACCAUGUGGUUCAGCAUGAACACCCCUCUUGGCUUAAACCAAUCAGUUCAAAUAAAUCCCCCUCUUGUAGUAAGUAACCAAUCACCCCUACCCAACUUGUUCCCGCCAGUGAAUGUGCUAAUCAUGUUUUAGAGUUGUUAUUUGAUUUUCCCGCGGUGUGUGAUGAUGUGCUUAGAGAUGCUAUGAUGUAUGUGGGGGUCCCUGCCUUCUCCAAAGAAUGUAUAAAACUGCUGCAAACCCUGGGCUCGGGGCCUCUCAGCGUCGUCACCAG